CUACAGAUAAGGUGAGGGAGAAUUUCAAUUUUUCACAAAAAAAAUAUUCCAUUUUUUAAAACUUAAAAAACUACAGGUCUUUUAUUUUUAAUAGAGUUCAAAUUGAUUGAAAUUGAAAUUUUCAAUUUUGUAUUCUUCAAUUAUUUAUGUAAUAAAAGCAAAAACUAUUGAAGAAAUUUACAGCAAAUGUUAAAUUAAAUCAAUUAUGAAAAGAAAAAAAAUAUCCAGUUAAAAUAACA
rnacentral:lncRNA from 1 species